GUGCUCACUUCAGCAGCACAUAUACUAAAAAUUAGAACAAUACAGAGAAGAUUAGCAUGACCCCUGCGCAAAGAUACAUGCAAAUUCGUGAAGCAGUCCAUGUUUUG